UUCUUGGAGAGUUUGAUCCUGGCUCAGGACGAACGCUGGCGGCGUGCCUAAUACAUGCAAGUCGAGCGAAUCAAUAGG
rnacentral:rRNA from 1 species